CACCUACUAUAUGUGAUUCAGUAAAAAAUAAAAAAAAAACAAUCCGCCCACCUGCACGGGUUUUUUCUGCUGCCGCUGAUGAUAAACCAGGAUAUUUUUUACAUUGCCUAAUUAAUAAUACAACUAUUGUGACAGUCAGAAAACCAAAAUUAUGUCAUUACAUGGAAACUUUGUUACAAGUUUCUUUGUCAAAAACAUAAAUUGUUUCAGGCAAAUUCACUAAAAAGUAAUGAUUGCAUCAGGCCUAAAAAAAGUACCUGUGGUUCCGGUUCCCGACCGACCCUAUUUUUUUCUGCCGACCCUAUUAUUUUUUUCAACGCGAUUGAUCGUGCGACCGUAUUUUUUCCGGGUGCAUGGUUGCGGGCUGGCUCAUACAGCAUGCCAAAAUGGCGUCUGUUGUUACACUAAUUAUUGGACAAAAUUGCCUAAAUUCGUCCAUAGGAACUAUGCACCUCUAGUUAAUAUUAAUGUCGGGACUCUACUGAAAAUUGCCCAGCAAAAAACCGCCAAAACCAUGAAAAAAAUAUUUUAAAAAAAUUAUUUCAUGGUCGGUAGACCCUAAUUUUUUCACAAUAUGAAACCAGAACCACAAGUAUUUUUUAGGCCUCAUGAGUAUGAUGAGUAUCUUAACAUCUGGUACCCAAAAUGGAUAUCAUCAAGAUACCACAAUACUGCACAUCUGAAACCUUGUUCAAAUCAUAACUAUUACUUACAGCUCACAGAAGGAAUAAAG